rnacentral:lncRNA from 1 species
AUGUGUGGUGCAGCUGGCCAGCGUGCGGAUGCUGCCGUGGGCCAAGGCCAACCUCAACCCCACCGGCCAGGCGCUCAUUGUCUGCACCGUCGCCGGGAUGGCAUACUUUGUCGCCGCCGACAAGACCAUCCUCUCGCUGGCGAGGCGGCACUCGUACGAGAGCGCCCCCGACCACCUCAAGGACACCUCCUUCCAUGGCGACGCCGCAGCUCGUCCCCGUCCACCGGCAUUCUUCAGGCCUUGAGUAGAGAGUUAUAGUUAGCUGCUACCGCGCCGUUCGUCGAUGUCCCAAGAAACUGCUGCUUACUUAAUUAUCAUCGCCAUCGUCAUGCUUGCUUACAAUCUUGGAUAUAGUGGUGCCUCAUGCUGUAGCCCAGUGUAACUCGCAUGUAUAGUAUGCUAUAUGCGGGUGUUACAGUUAAUUAACGACAAUCAUUUUCUCCCUGUUUUAUUACUGCAUGCAAUUUGAAUCUUCUGAAUCGCCGAUGAACACUGCAUCCCCAAAAUGAGGACUGGAAGACGUCUCACUUGUCUGAAUUUCAGGUGCAAAUGUGCUAUAAUUAAAGACUGAAAAAUACAUUGGAAAGAUGGUGAAGCAGCUCACAUGCAUGGAGAAGGGCACAUGCCGCCGGGGAGCACAUGCUGCGGGUGUGGCCGGAAAACUGGGAGCGCCGCUGAAUAAGUAAAUUUAGAGCAUCUACAGCCAACCUGACGCCUCGUAUCGAUCUCAAAUGCCUGAGCAGACCGUUCGGUCACUACUCGGUCACGAAAAUACGAUUUAGAUGGAUCUUUUAAAACCGUCUUAUAUACCCGGGCUUACCGACAUCCUUCAUAUCCUCACGCAGAAAAAAUAUAGACUCGUUAUCAACAUUGAGCACCACUUGUUUCGGAUCUUGAUUCAUGAGAUCACCGUGUAGCCUUCCUAGCCACAUACCUUGACACUCUGCUUCACUUGAAGUCGAUCUCACCACUUUUUGCUUUCGUGAUAGCCAGCUUACUAUGCAUCCAUCAACGGAAUAUGCCACGUCCGAGGUACUCUUACCGUCGUCAACAAUUCCUUCCUUGUCAUUAUCACUGUAACCGAGUAGUUUCACCAUCUCCUUCUUGCUCAGCUCAAGACGAGGUUCCAUUGAAGCAUCAAUUGGAUUGCAACCAUUCAUGCCAAAAUUUUCAAGUACCUUCCUUGUGUAUGCCUCCUGGCAUAAUGUGAUCUCUUCUGGCUUAUGAUGUACCUCUGGUCUGAGGUAGCAACUCAAAAGACCUAGACCGUCCAUUUUGAAAAGCUCCUUCAUUUGUAGCUUGAACUUUGCAAUCACCUCUUCAUCUGCUCCAGUAAUCAAUAGAUCAUCAUCGUAUAUAGUUUCCAACUAGUAGACGAUCACUUCCUUCACCUCUCUUGUACAUUGUAUGCUCGAGUGGGGCUUUCUCAAAUCCAAGAGAAAUCAAAGUCCGAUCAAGUUUGAUGUUCCACGCCCGAAGUGUGAAAAGCGUAGGUUAAGCGUAUGCAAUGGCUGCAGGGACGCGUUCAUGUUAUAUGGGGGCCCAACGCCAGAGAUACACAAGUUGGUUAGGUCUAGGAUUGAUCUCCAAGUAAUCUAACAACCAUGAGAUCUUAUCUCUAGACCUACCGGUUUACAAAGAGUUGGACACGGUUUAUACACCACCGUAUCCUAACUAUACAAUGUUUAACACUCCCCCUCAAUCACAACUAUCUAAGUUGAGAUUGUGUCGAAAUGCUUCUAACUGCCUAAGAGUAAGCGGUUUAGUAAAGCCAUCAGCAACUUGAUCACCUGUAGGUAUAAACCUAACAUUCAGCAGCUUGUCGGCAACACGUUCUCGAACAAAGUGAUAGUCAAUCUCAAUAUGCUUAGUCCUGGCAUGAAAAACUGGAUUAGCAGCUAAGUAUGUAGCACCAAGAUUAUCACAGGGAGGCUGCCUUUGGAUGACGUAUCCCAAGUUCAUUCAACAUGUUCUGAACCCAAAUAACUUCGGCAGUGGCAUUGGCUAGAGCUUUAUAUUCUGCUUCGGUGCUCGACCUAGAGACCGUGGGUUGUUUACGAGCACUCCAUGAUACUAGAUUUCCUCCAAGAAAUACUGCAAAGCCUCCUGUAGACCUUCUAUCAUCUGGGCAUCCUGCCCAAUCUGCAUCAGAAAAAGCACUUACAAGCAUUGAAUCUGACUUACUGAUCUUGAGUCCAUGACUCCUUGUCCCUUGGAAAUACCUCAGUAUCCUCUUUACCGCUGUCCAGUGUGUAGUACUAGGAGCAUGCAAGAACUGACAUACCUUAUUUACUGAAUAACAGAUAUCUGGUCUAGUUAACGUCAAAUACUACAAUGCUCCUACAAUACUUCUAUAUUUGGUGGAGUCUUCUGCUCCAAGUACUUCCCCAUCAUGGACAGAUAAUUUUUCAGAUGUAGAUAAAGGUGUAGAAGAAGGUUUGCACCCUUUCAUACCUAUUCUCUGGAGUAUUUCCUGCACAUACUUUCCUUGUGACAUCAUGAUCCCACUGGGUACCUUUUUAACCUCAAUGCCAAGGAAGAAGUGUAGAUCACCUAGGUCUUUGAGAGAAAAAUCUUUUCUCAAGUCCUUAAGAAGAGCUUCAACUGCUUGACUUGAUGAGCUAGUAACAACUAUAUCAUCAACAUAGAUCAGCAUAAAAAUAGUUACUCCAUGCUUAUGAUAAACGAAGAGUGAUGUAUCCCCCUUGGAUGGAACAAACCCUAGGGAUUGCAACUUGAAGGACAAACGAGAAUACCAGGCUCUAGGUGCUUGUUUCAGACCAUACAAUGCUUUAUCAAGUUUGCAAACAUAGUGAGGUGAGUGAGGAUGCUCAUACCCUGGAGGUUGCCGCAUAAAUACUUCCUCUUCUAGAACGCCAUGCAAGAACGCAUUCUUCACAUCUAGCUGUCGCAUGCACCAAUUACGAGAUACAGCUAUUGACAGAAUUAACCUGAUAGUGACAGCCUUGACAACAGGGCUAAACGUAUCCUCGUAAUCCAAGCCAUAGUGUUGCUUAAAACCCUUAGCAACAAGACAUGCCUUAUACCUGUCUAUAGUGCCAUCAGAUUUUCUUUUUACUUUAUAAACCCAUUUACAGUCAAUGAUAUUCUGGCCUGUAGCAGGAGGAACAAGACGCCAUGUCUGGUUCUUGAUGAGAGCAGCAAAUUCCUCAUCCAUAGCAGCUUUCCAUCGGGUAUCACCAAGAGCUUCAACAAGGCUUUGUGGUUCACCUGUGGAACAGAACGAGCCCCAGCGUACACAGCCAUCAGUAUAUACCUUCGGUUUGAGAAUACCUCCCUGGGCACGUGUGUGCGCUCGAGCAGGCGGAGGAGGUGUAGGACGAGCAAGCUGUUGCGGAAGGCGCGGUACUGUAGCCGAGACAGGGGAUUCGUCGAAGGAGUCGUGUAGCGAACGUGAAACACCCGAGCCGGCAGUAUCGUCGGCUGCAUGCGUGUCGGACGACCCGACAGGCAUGGCGGAGUGUGCAGCAGACAGGAGGCGAUCCCGAGGCGCACAUGCAGAGGCUGCUAGCGACGCGGGAGCGGCCGAGCCACGUGGGGGCGUAGGCGACGCGGAAACCGUCGCUGGAGCGCCUGAGCCACGCGGGGGCGGGGGCGACGCAGAAACCGACGCGACACCGCCGAAUCAUGCGCCGCGUUCGGCCGACCGGGAGGGGGCCCGCCUGGCCCUGCCGAAAAACGACCGACUGCCACGGGUGGUGACCCCCGACCGUGGGAGGAUCUACUGGCAGCGUCAGCGCCAGGAGUUGCGGUCCCCGAGGCCGGAAUGGAAUCAGGCGCAGGCUGGCCCGGAUCUGGAACUGAUUCCGAGGCGGGAUCUUCUGCGGAGGCACCGGGAUCUGCUGAGAGCAUAAAAUCACGCCCUGUUGCGCUGUUUCCUGCAAAAUCUUCCUGCACACUAGAAUCUGACGGAUCAUCAGGGUUAGUAGUAUGAGACAUUGUCAUGUGGUCAUCAGCAGUAUCUACCCCCCUAGCAAGGAAUUGUGGUGAUGGGAGGAGGUGGGAGGGAAGUAAAACAAGCUCUUUACGAAGUUGUGCACCAGCAUUAGGAUGGAGUGUAGCAAAAGGGAAAACUUGCUCAUCAAAUACUACGUCACGAGAGAUGUAGACUCGACCAGAAGUAACAUCAAGGCACUUAUACCCUUUGUGCAUUGUGCUGUACCCUAGGAAGACACAUUGUUUGGAGAGAAACUCAAGCUUGUGUUUGUUGAAGGGACGUAAGUACAGCACACCCAAAAAUGCGUCAAAAGGUGUAGUUGGGUUUUGUAUGAAAAAUACGCUCAAGAGGGAUUGAUUAUGGAUGAUCCUACUAGGUGUGCGAUUAAUAAGGUAGACAGCGGUAAGAAAAGCUUCAUCCCAAAACUUGAGGGGCAUAAAAGCAUGGGCAAGGAGGGAUAACCCAACUUCUACAAUGUGGCGAUGUUUUCUUUCAGUAGAGCCGUUCUGUUGAUGAGCAUGGGGCUGGAGACAUGGUGGGUGAUGCCAAUAUUUUCAAAAAACACAUUGAGUUUUUGGUAUUCACCACCCCAAUCUGUUUGCAUAGCAAGAAUCUUUCGAUCAAAGAGACGCUCAACGUGUUGCUGGAAAACAUGAAACUUGGCAAACACAUCAGAUUUAUGCUUGAGUAAAUAAAUCCAGAUAAACUCGCUGAAAUCAUCAAUGAAGCUAACAUAGUACUUUUGCUUUCCUACAGAAAGGGGUCCAGGCCCCCACACAUCAGAAAAAACAAGCUCUAAAGGAGCUUUGGACUCACUAGUGGAACGAGUAUAAGGGAGUUGGUGGCCAUUUGACAUGAAUCACAAACUAACAAGUGAUCCUUUUUAUUGGACACAGGAAGACAAAAAUCUCUAAGAAUUUUAUGGACAACCGGCAAAGCUGGAUGCCCUAGACUCUUAUGCCAUCUUGAAGUGGAGGGUUUGGUCACACCAAGUGCUUGUCGAUGUGGAGGAUCAUGGCGACCAGAAAUUGGAAACAGACAUUUUUUUACUCUUGCUUUGAAGGAUUGUUCUCCGAGUGUCCCGAUCCUUGACAAAAACAAUUUCAGGGUAAACUUCAAGAAAGGCAUAAUUAUCAUUGAUAAGUUUGUGAGCAGAGAGAAGACUUUUGUCAGCUAGAGGUGCAUGAGGAUAUUGUUUAAGUGCAGGGAACCAUGGGGAGUAGACAAAACAGAGUGACCAAUAUGAGCAAUGUCCAUACCUUGACCACUUGCAGUGUAGAUUUGAUCUGUCCCGGUGUAGCGAUCCCGAACAGCUAGCUUCUCAAGCUCACCGAUGACAUGAUCUGUCGCGCUAGUGUCCAGAUACCAGUUGGUAUCCACUCCAUAGGACCCCGAAGUUUUGGCAGCAUUGGCAGAUUUGUUUCCACCCCCACCUCCACUGCCAGCCGGGUUACCCACAUUGUUGUUGAAGUUGCGAUCGAAGCGCUUUUUACAGCGCCACGCACCGUGCCCGCUCUCUUUGCAGAUCUGGCAAUUCUCCCGAUUGUUGUUGUCGCGGUCACCACCACGGUCGCCACGCCCGCCACCAUUGCCCGAGUUGUCGAAGAAGCGCACACCCGUGUUGUUGUUGUUGAAGCCACGGGGACCACCAUUGCCGUUCCCAGAACGACCGUAGCCACCCCGGCCACCUCCCUUAGCAGCCAUAUUGGCCGUGUAGGAGGCUGUCUGGGUAGUGAUCCGUCCCUCUACAGCAAGCAGGAGGGAGUACAGCUCUCCAAGACCGAUCGGUUGAUCAGUGAUGGUGCGGGUUGAGAUAGCAGAAACGAACCCGUUGUACUCGGGUUCAUGCAUCAGCCCUUGGAGGAUGUGCGACACCACGUCGUCCUCAUCAAGGUGUUUUCCAGCAGCAGCAAGUUCAUCAGCGAGCCCCUUCAUCCUGGUGAAGUAGGCGGCGGCGGAGAGAUCACCUUUGCGAGUGGAGGCGAUCUGUGAGCGGAGUUGGAUGAUGCGCGCCCUCGACUGCGAUGAGAAGCUCUGAAGAAGCUCCUUCCACGCCUCGGCAGUAGUCUCGCAGUUACUGACCUGCAUCAGUACGUCGCGAGAGAGGGAUGCCAGCAGAAAAGUCAGUACCUGCUGGUCCUGGGUCACCUAAACGGCAUGUUCGGGGUUGGAAGUAGCGACGAUCUCCUUCUUGCCGGCAACUUCUUUUUCCAGAAGGAGCUCGGCGCUGGGUUCCUUGUUUGAUCCAUCAAGGAACCCCAUCAUACCGGCGGCACGGACGUGCGGCAGGACUUGGGCUCUCCAUACAAGAAAGUUCUCUCUUGUUAGAUUCUCUGUGAUGGUGUGGCCGAGAGAGGCGAUGGAGGGAGAGGCCAUGGUGAUCGCAGAGGAGGAGGUGGACAUGGCGGCGGCUAGAUGUAUUGGAAGAGACUAGCUCUGAUACCAUAUGAAACGCGUAGGUUAAGCGUAUGCAAUGGCUGCAGGGACGCGUUCAUGUUAUAUGGGGGCACAACGCCAGAGAUACACAAGUUGGUUAGGUCUAGGAUUGAUCUCCAAGUAAUCUAACAACCAUGGGAUCUUAUCUCUAGACCUACCGGUUUACAAAGAGUUGGACACGGUUUAUACACCACUGUAUCCUAACUAUACAAUGUUUAACACGAAGGUCUUGCCGUCGCCCAUACAAAACUUUGUGCGCCUUCAAUACCUUGUGUUCUUCUCCCUCUUUGAUGAAGCUUGGUGCUAGAUUCACAUACACAUCUCCUUCCAUCUCACCGUGCAAAAACGUAGAUUUUACAUCCAUAUGAUGUAUCUUUCAUGAUUCUUGAGCCGCGAGAGCGAUGAGUAAUCUCAUCGAUUCCAUCCGCGCAAUGGGAACGAACACUUCUUUGAAGCCCACACCUUCAUCUUGCAUGUCCUCUUUGACCACUAGCUUCGCCUUGUGCUUCACACAAGUUUCUUGAGCUUCUUUCUUGAUCGUAAAUACCAACUUGAGCUGCAUGGUUUUUUCAUUGUUGGGAAGAUCCACAAGCUCCCAUGCAUUGUUGUCGUGUGGAUGUGGAUCGAUCCCAACUCUUCCCUCAUAGCAUGACGCCAACACUCCUUUGUAUUUGCGUCUUCAAAAUCUGUCGGUUUCUCGGUAAUUGCUAGACACCUUCGCUGCUCCCUUUCAUUUUCAGCGGGUCAACUGUCUGAACAGUUUUCUCUAGAUAGAGAUGUAGCUCCGGUUGAAGCAACACGGAUGUAGAUGGCAGUGUCCUUUCUUCCAUUUCCACAGGAACUGCAUUACCUCGCCGUUCCUAUCUCUUCUUGUUGCAGUGUGCGUGCAUGGCAAAACUGCACACACCAUCUCUCCUACACCUCCACUGAACGAGCCACCUUCCAGUGGCAGCUCGCCAUGUCCAGCUAGUUUCCUGGUGCAUACUUAUCACCAUCACAUGGGGAGCGCCCAACAGUUGUUGUUGCCUCUUUGCAUGUGUCACACGCUGCUUGUGAGCUGGCCUGGCCACCAGGCCGUGUGUCCACUUCUGAGCAACUCGGUUGGCUGGGUAGGCCAUCUCCUUUCGGCCCGCCCGCUCCAACGGUGUAACAGCUGCCUCCAGAACUUCCCGAUCGAGCGCUCGUAGAACUCGCUUCAUCAGAACAAGCUCCGUCACCACCUAGCUUGCAUGUUCUGCUCAGCGACACAUCGCAUGUACGCUUUGCCUCUUCGUGGACUUUUGACAUCACGUCUUCGUCUAUUACUAGACAACGUAACAUGGCUUGUGCACACGUGCUUACUUUUGCAUCAGCAUACUUUGAUUCGUGGUUUUCAGGCGUCACGUAUGCCCAAGUAACGUCCGUGACCAUCGCAUCGACACAAAGUUCAGAAUUAUGUCUCACGUCAGUAGCUUCGACACAAGUUUUGAAAUCACCCCUCAUGUCUGUAACAAGGCCGCUUCUCCACGGCCGAACACAUGCAAUGAGCGAUUCCUUCGCUCCAACAAAGUUGGCACUUACACCCAUAGCAUUGAUGUAAGUUUCGGAAUCACCUCCCGCAUCCGUAGCAUCGAUAUGGGUUUCCGAACCAUGAUCUUGAGAGCAAACUCUUCCUUCACGCAGUGCGGCAAUUUAUUUAGCCGACACUUGAAGAACUGGAUCCUCCUCGUCCACGAGUUCACACAUCAACAUCAUGUCACCUUCAUCUCCUUGAUGGACCAUGAGCGCCUUCUCCUUUGGGGGAUUCUUGCACUCCGACUUGAAGUGCCCAAUGAUGCCUUAAUUGUGACACUUAUCUUGCGCUUGUCGAACUUCUUCUUCUCCUUCGGAGCGCCAUCGCUAGCGUCCUUUUGAUUUUUUUUCGUUUGGCACACGAUCUUGGCGAGCGUAACUGCUAGAGCCCUCACCUUCUCUCCUUGAGUCUAGCGCCUGCCACUGAGCCCGCGCGAGCAUGAUAAGCUCAUCGUUCCUCCCGUCCCCGAGAGUGUACCUCAAACGCUCGUCGUGAGCCUUAUAGCGUCCGACAAGAUCAUCAAUACAGAGGGUCGCAAGAUCGAUGCACUGCUCGAUUGCCGUGACAAUUUGCAGGUACCGGGGAUGAGCCGCGCGCAAGAACCGACGGACAACCGAGGCCUCCGUGAGGUUUUCUCCAAAUGCGCGGAUCCGAUUGACGAGAGUUGCAACCCGUGAAGCGAACGCGUCCACGGACUCAUUGUCGCCCAUGACCAAAGUCUCAUAGUUCCGUAAGAGAGUUUGGAGAUUGGCUUGCUUGACGGGGUCGUGUCCCUCAAACAUGAGCUUCAAGGUAUCCAAAGCCUCAUUCGUCGUUUCUUUGACGAUCACGUGUUGAAGGACAUCCAUCGGCAUCACCGAAUAAAUCAUCGACGCCGCCUACCGAUCCUUCCGAUGCUCAGCUCCCUCCUUCUUGAAAGCGUCGCCUCCUGGAUCGAUUGCGUCCCACAACACGUUGGCGCGGAGACGACACUCCAUGAGAGCCUUCCAGAAUCCGAAGUUCUCGCGAUCAAAUCGUGGGUACGACAAACUCGCCGGAGCAGCAAAUACUUUAGCCGCACCGAUGUACUCCGCCAGCUGCUUGGCCUUGUCAUCCUCCGACAUGAUCUUCCGUUACUAGAAUAUCAACCUUGCUCUAGAUAUUAAUUGUUGGCCCAGACCUAACGCCGAGUACUUUCCGGCGACGGUAACGACGGACGAAGACGAAGCCGAACAAAGCUCCUUGACGAACUCGACGAAGUUCCUUUGCGUCGAGCUGUAACCGCUAGCCGGAUUAUCGGUUUCUGGAGGAGACGCGCACGUACGCGUAACCUAAGCAGGCAGGCUAGCAGGUGGAUGGUUUCUCAUGCACACGUUCGUAGCAAUUUGGUUGCUGCCUUGAUCGAUCGGAACUAGCAUCGCCGAGACACACACGCGAGAACACGAGGAUAUGAUGGCUACGGGAGCGUGUCGCUCCCGACUUUCUUCUUUGUAUUGAUCUGAUUUCAAUCUGAUGUUACAAAUUCCUAUAUGGUGACAUAGAUAUAUAUAUUAGCUAGCUACAGCCAAUACAAUUCCUAUAUGGUGACCGUGUCCUAGUCCGACCCGGCUAGGGAAUCACAAGACGUAAUUAACUCCAACACCCGAGCACGUCUGUCUGAUAGGCCUGGCCCACCAUCGAUCCCAUCAAUGUCCCAAAAAAUAACCACUCUCGACGCCUCGUUCCGAACCCUAGCUCUUUCUCUCUUCCUCCAUCUCGUGUUCUCCCGCUUCGAGCCCGCUCCAUCGAGUAGAAUGUCGAGUACCGACAGCCGCUCCGAUGACUCCGACGUCAACCCCGACGAGCUGGCCCUUCGCAUCGCCUUGGAGUGGUCCAAGGUGCAGACCGGCGGCAACUUAGGAUCUGGAGCUAUGCCGCCACUCCCGAGACGGUGGAGCGCGGAUGCCGGAGCUGGACCCUACCGUCCCGCGCGCAACUUCGACUGCAAGGCUGCAUAGUCCGCAUAGGCCUCACGUCGUGUCCUCCCCUCGCCAGGUGCUGCUCCAGGCGGGCAGCGCUGGGUCCUAGUGUCCACGCCGCCGGGCAGCGCCCGCAUGCGUACUCCAAAAUCGGAGGCACGUGCCGCCCGCCAUGAGAGGCGGCGGGCACUAGGAUGAGGGGAAGCACAACAGUCUGCGCGGCGGCACCGCAGGAUGCCAGCAGAGCCCGAUGAGAACGAAUGUCUCCUCGCAAGGGUGUACCUCCGGUCCCUCACGACGGCGGAGACGGACGCUCGGUGCUACCGACGGAAGAAUGUGAAGUUGUUCCGGCUUGCUAUUGAGAAAUUGGUGUGCGAGGCGAAGGAGACAGCGAAGGAGAAGGCCCGACUGGCACGAUUGAAGUGCGAGAAAGACAUGGCGGUCUUGCGGAUAAAGGGGCUCAUCGUCCUCUUCGAAAAUGACUCGGACGACAGCGACAACGGCAUCUUCUCCUCUGACGACCAAGAUCCUCCGCCAACCGCGGACGGCUACAGUUGCCUCGGCGAUCCAAAGGGCAAAAGUACGGCGAGGAAGUGGUGAUAUGCCCCCUCCCCCCUACGCAUUCUUAAUAUAGUUUUUUAGUGAUGAUAAACUAUGUCCUGCGAACUCGAUGAUCUUUUGAGUGAUGAUGGAUUUCCGUUUGCCGCAAAUCUUGUGUUCGUUUCCUUCCGAUUUUAUUUUCCGAUCACGUAGAUUAUUUCGACAUGCAUAUGUAGUAUGAAUAUAGGACGCCGGAAUGAGACAUGUGGAUGUGUUUUUGGAAAAGGAGGUUCAAACCCCCGGCCUCUCCAUCAAUCGAUGCAUAUGUCCAUCUUUAUUAAUUAUUCAACAUAGGUCUAACAAGAACAUACAGAAAACCAUCUGAAGCCAUCACUCACACCUACGAAACUCGAUAAUGUGGAGUGCUCUCAUUCCUCAUAUCUAAAACCGGUGCCGUCACUGAUACACCCACAUAACGUAUCGGAACCCACAGCCGGUGCAGCAGACAUAAAGCGUACACCACAUGCACACGUUUUAGAUGCCGCCAUCAUCAUCAGGCCGCUGACCCGUCUUCAAGAGAGAGAUCUGUAUCAUCCUUGCCAGUCCGUCCAUCCGUCGACGCAACCACGGCUCGUCAGUCCAGACGUGUAGAUUUCGGAAGAUCUGUCGUGUGUAGCACCUGUUGACCAGGCAUGGCACAGCGUAGCACCUAUUGGUCAGGCAUGACUUGACAUCUCCACCGAAAGCUCCGUGCAAGAUGAUCGACGCCACCACGGCGCCAAACAGCGCCACCUCCCUGCGCUCAUUCGUCCAGACACGAAGAUUGUCGAAGAGCUGUCAUGCAUAGCACCUACCAACCAGGCAUGACUCAGCGUAGCACCUGUCGGCCACGCAUGACUUGACAGUUCCACCAAAUCUUCGGGCCAGACGAAGCCGCUCCAUAUCCUACCUCUGUCAUCCAGCGCUGCUCCACAAACGAUGCUCCCAAGAGAGAUAAGGCACCGCAGUACCGCCAUCGUCCGAUCUGGAAAGUCGGAUCUUAGGGUUUCCCCCGAAGUAGUGUUGGAAUUAUGCCCUAGAGGCAAUGAUAAAUAAGUUAUUAUUAUAAUUCUUGUAUCAAGAUAAUCGUUUAUUAUCCAUGCUAUAAUUGUAUUGAAUGAAGACUUAGAUACAUGUGUGGAUACAUAGACAAAACACUGUCCCUAGCAAGCCUCUAGUUGGCUAGCCAGUUGAUCAAGGAUAGUCAGGGUCUUCUGACUAUGUACAAGGUGUUGUUGCUUGAUAACUGGAUCACGUCAUUGGAAGAAUCAUGUGAUGGACUAGACCCAAACUAAUAGACGUAGCAUGUUGAUCGUGUCAUUUUGUUGCUACUGUAUUCUGCGUGUCAAGUAUUUAUUCCUAUGACCAUGAGAUCAUAUAACUCACUGACAGUGGAGGAAUGCUUUUUGUGUAUCAAACAUCGCAACGUAACUGGAUGACUAUAAAGAUGCUCUACAGGUAUCUCCGAAGGUGUUCGUUGAGUUAGUAUGGAUCGAGACUAGGAUUUGUCACUCCGUGUGACGUAGAGGUGUCUCGGGGCCCACUCGGUAAUACAACAUCACACACAAGCCUUGCAAGCAAUGUGACUUAGUGUAAGUUACGGGAUCUUGUAUUACAGAACGAGUAAAGAGACUUGUCGGUAAACGAGAUUGAAAUAGGUAUGCGGAUACUGACGAUCGAAUCUCGGGCAAGUAACAUACCGAAGGACAAAGGGAAUGACAUACGGGAUUAUAUGAAUCCUUGGCACGGCACCUUCCAAUCCUAGUUGGACUAGGAUUGGAGGAGGAAUCCUCCUCCCCCCCUUCGGCUGACCCCCUUGGGGAUCCUUGAGCCUCAAGGCAAGGCCCCUCCCCUCCCACCUAUAUAUACGGAGGUAUUAGGGCUGAUUUGAGACAACUUUGCCACGGCAGCCCGACCACAUACCUCCACGGUUUUUCCUCUAGAUCGCGUUUCUGCGGAGCUCGGGCGGAGCCCUGCUGAGAUUAGAUCACCACCAACCUCCGAAGCGCCGUCACGCUGCCGGAGAACUCAUCUACCUCUCCAUCUCUCUUGCUGGAUCAAGAAGGCCGAGAUCAUCGUCGAGUUGUACGUGUGCUGAACGAGGAGGUGCCGUCCGUUCGGCACUAGAUCGGAGCGGAUCGUGGGACGGAUCGCGGGACGGUUCGUGAGACGGUUCGCGGGGCGGAUCGAGGGACGUGGGGACGUUCCACUACAUCAACCACGUUUAUUAACGCUUCUGCUGUGCGAUCUACAAGGGUACGUAGAUCUGAAAUCCCCCUCGUAGAUGGACAUCACCAUGAUAGGUCUUCGUGCGCGUAGGAAAAUUUUUGUUUCCCAUGCGACGUUCCCCAACAGUGGCAUCAUGAGCUAGGUUCAUGCGUAGAUGUCAUCUCGAGUAGAACACAAAUGUUUUUGUGGGCGGUGAUGUGCGAUUUGCCGCCCUCCUUAGUCUUUUCUUGAUUCCGCGGUAUUGUUGGAUCGAAGCGGCUCCGACGGACAUUACUCGUACGCUUACGAGAGACUAGUUUCAUCGCUACGAGCAACUCCGUUGCUCAAAGAUGACUGGCGAGUGUCGGUUUCCCCAACUUUAGUUGAAUCGGAUUUGACCGAGGAGGUCCUUGGAUGAGGUUAAAUAGCGAGUCAUAUAUCUCCGUUGUGGUGUUUGCGUAAGUAAGAUGCGAUCCUACUAGAUACCCAUGGUCACCACGUAAAACAUGCAACAACAAAUAGAGGACGUCUAACUUGUUUUUGCAGGGUAUGCUUGUGAUGUGAUAUGACCGAGGAUGUGAUGUGCUAGCUCGUGUUAAUUGCACACGGAAUAGGCUCUAUAUCCUCAACCAUGAUCAAUCUCAACCGGAGUGUUGGCUCGCCAAGAGUGAUGAUGAUUCAUGGUUAUGGCGUGCUAGAUUUGGACACAUUAACUUCUACGCCUUGAAGAAGAUGUCAAAGAUGGAGAUGGUAUCCGGGAUGCCAGUUAUCGACCAUGUUGAUCGAGUAUGUGACGGGUGCUUGGUUGGAAAACAGCAUCGCAGGCCGUUCCCUGCUCAGUCUAUCUAUCGUGCAAGUGAUGCACUCGAGCUGCUCCACGGUGAUCUAUGUGGCCCUAUCACCCCGGCAACUCAUGCGGGGAAGAAGUAUUUCUUCCUCGUCAUAGACGACUACUCGAGAUAUAUGUGGGUCACUCUCCUACGAUCUAAAGAUGAGGCAUUUGAAGCGUUCAAAAACUGAAGGCUCAAACGGAGAUGGAACACAAGCUGAAGGUUCGCGCUUUACGGACAGAUCACGGCGGAGUGUUUACAUCAAACAAAUUCAACGAUUACUGCGAGAAGAUUGGUAUAAAAAGGUUCCUCGCGGCACCUUACACGCCGCAGCAGAACGGGGUCGUUGAAAGGCGCAAUCAAACCGUCGUUGACAUGGCAAGGAGUUUACUCAAGAGCAAGAACCUACCGGGCACUUUUUGGGGAGAAGCUGUCUCGACGGCAGUCUAUCUUCUCAACCGGGCUCCAACGAAGGCGGUGAUCGGCAAGACUCCGUAUGAAGCAAUUUACGGACGUAAGCCGAAUGUGUCUCAUCUACGGACAUUCAGGUGCGUGGCACAUGUGAAGACGGCGGAGCCGCACCUCUCAAAGCUUGUCGAUCGUAGCACUAAGAUGGUAUUCAUCGGAUACGAGAGGACUUCCGGCACCAAGGCAUACCGCUUCUAUGAUCCACAAACCAAGCGUCUACUGAUUUCACGCGACGUCGUGUUUGAAGAAAACCAAGCGUGGAAUUGAAGCGCCGCAGCAGAGGAUGCUCUUCACGGUUGAAUUUCCAACUAAUGAUGAUGCAGGGGAGGAUGUCCAGGUGGUUGGUAAGACGUCUAACCAAGGUGACCACAAUGGUAGUGAUCAUCAUGGUGCCGACACCGACGGCGACGUGCAUAGGUCGCAAGGAGAUAUCGACAACGAAGCGCACGAUACGGGUGGAGAUCUCGACGACAACAUCAACAACGAGGCGCAUAGUGACGACGACAAUCAAGAUGAUGGUCAUGAUCACGACGACUACGCCGACGAUGCGGAUGUCGAUGACACGCUUGGGACUUAGCCAUCUUCCUCAAGUGCAUCAACAUCGACACAAUUUGUGUCAUCUCCUUCGCAAGCUACAACGGACUCCUCAGGGCCUCGUCGCUACAAGACACUCAAGAAAGUCUACAAGUACACAAAGCCAGUUACGCUCGAGUACUCCGGACUAUGUCUGUUCGGAGUUGAGGAGUCGGCGAACUUCGUAGAGGCUAGCAAAAGACCUAGUUGGACGCACGCCAUGGAUGAGAAGAUGAAGGCGAUUGAGAGCAAUGACACGUGGACUUUGGUAACCCGAUCUCCAAACCAAAAGGCGAUAGGUUUGAAGUGGGUUUACAAGCUAAAGAAGGAAACGGAGGGUGCCAUUGUCAAGUACAAGGCAAGACUCGUUGCAAAGGGCUACGUACAACGUCAAGGAGUUGAUUAUGACGAGGUGUUUGCACCAGUUGCUCGACUCGAGACAGUGAGAGUGCUCCUAGCUUUGGCAGCACAAGAGGAUUGGAAGGUUCAUCAUAUGGAUGUUAAAUCCGCUUUCCUCAACGGUGAUCUCAUCGAAGAAGUGUACGUGGAACAACCCCUCGGCUACGAGAAGAAAGGCGAAGAAGGGAAAGUUUACAAGCUCAAUAAAGCACUUUACGGGUUGAAGCAAGCACCAAGAGCUUGGAACUCAAAGUUAGACCGAAGUUUGGUCUCGCUCGGGUUCAAGAGAUGUCCCCUCGAGCACGCAGUCUAUACAAAGAACUCCAAAGGCUCAAACCUGCUAGUUGGAGUUUAUGUCGACGAUCUGAUUAUCAUCGGAGAUAGCGUACAAGAAAUUGAACGUUUCAAGGCGCAAAUGAAGAACAAGUUUAGCAUGAGCGAUCAGAGAUUACUCAGCCAUUACUUGGGCAUCAAAGUGAAGCAAAGCUCCGGAGAGAUUUCCCUAUGUCAAUCGGCUUAUGCGGUCAAGUUAUUGGAAAAGUGUGGCAUGUCAGAUUGCUACGAGACACAAGUUCCAAUGGACCAACGUCACAAGUUGAGAUAGCGUAGCUCAAAUCCGCCGGUGGACACGACAUUGUAUCGAAGCGUUGUGGGCAGCCUAAGAUAUUUGGUGCAUACCCGACCUGACUUGGCUUAUUCGGUCGGGAUCGUGAGUCGUUUCAUGGAGAAUCCGACAACCAAGCACAUGAGCGCGGUCAAUCAAAUCUUGCGCUAUGUGAAAGGCACCAUUAAUCUUGGUUGCAUGUACAUAAAGGGAAAGGAAGGAUUGAUCCUUCGUGGAUAUUCAGAUAGUGACAUGGCAGGUGAUGUUGAUGACCGAAAGAGCACAACGGGCAUGGUUUUCUACCUUGGCCCAAAUCCGAUUAGCUGGAAUUCUCAGAAGCAAAAGGUGGUGGCACUGUCUUCAUGCGAGGCAGAAUACAUAGCGACAAGCACAGCGGCUUGUCAAGCAGUUUGGCUGAGAAGACUCCUAGCUAUUCUUGCAAAGCGGGAGGUGCAGAAGGUGUCAUUGAAGAUCGACAACCAAGCUGCAAUUUCGUUGUGCAAAAAUCAUGUUCAUCACGAAAGGAGCAAGCACAUAGAUACCCGGUUCCACCAUAUCCGGGAGUGCAUUGAAGAAGGGUUGAUCGAGGUUCAUCAUGUGAACACGAAAGACCAACUUGCCGAUAUUUUCACCAAGUCCCUCGGUUGACGGAAGUUCAUCGAGAUGAGCUAGAAAGUUGGAGUGCAAGAAGUGAAGUCAAGCAACAAGAUUAAGGAGUAGAAUGUAGAACUUAAUCAUGUUGCUCAUGUAGGAUUAGGAAAGAAAGUCAAACCGAGUCCUAGUAGUAUUAGGAUUCCUAUUCCUAGUCUAUUUCGAUAGUCCCUUGUGGAUGUGUAUAAAAUACACCCUAGGGGUGUUCCUUGUAACACCAGAAAAAACGAAAAGCAAUACAAAGCAAAGGCUCGAGACGGGCCUUUAGCCAUCAAAUCCGUCGAUCAGUUUUAUUUGUGUCGCUAGUUACGCAAGUUCCGUCAAGUAGCCGGCCGAAGCAAGAAUCGCGUAGGCACGCCUCUACGGCUGCAUAUGCACGUUCAAAACCCAACAGUCUGAAUUUCAGGUGCAAAUGUGCUAUAAUUAAAGACUGAAAAAUACAUUGGAAAGAUGGUGAAGCAGCUCACAUGCAUGGAGAAGGGCACAUACCGCCGGGGAGCACAUGCUGCCGGUGUGGCCGGAAAACUAGGAGCGCCGCUUAAUAAGUAAAUUCAGAUCAUCUACAGCCAACCUGACGCCUCGUAUCCAUCUCAAAUGCCUGAGCACACCGCUCGGUCACUACUCAGUCAUGAAAAUAUGAUUCAGAUGGACCUUUUAAAACUGUCUUAUACAUCCGGGCUUACCGACAUCCUUCUUAUCCAACCUAAAUAUAGGGUGGAUAUGGGUGACCUGGUCAUGCCCGAGCACGUAUGUCUGAUAGGCCUGGCCCACCACCGAUCCCAUCAAUGUCCCAAAAAAUAACCACUCUGCACGCCUCGCUCCGAGCCCUAGCUCUCUCUCUCUUCCUCCAUCUCGUGUUCUCCCGCUUCGAGCCCGAUCCAUCGAGUAGAAUGUCGAGUACCGGCAGCCGCUCCGAUGACUCCGACGUCAACCCCGACGAGCUGGCCCUUCGCAUCGCCAUGGAGUGGUCCAAGGUGGAGACCGGCGGCAACUUAGGAUCUGGAGCUACGCCGCCGCUCCCGAGACGGUGGAGCGCGGAUGCCGGAGCUGGACCCUACCGACCCGCGCGCAACUUCGACUGCAGGGCUGCAUAGGCCUCACGCCGUGUCCUCCCCCCACCGGGUGCUGCUCCAGGCGGGCAACAUUGGGUCCUAGUGUCCACGCUGUCGGGCAGCGCCCGCAUGCGUACUCCGAAAUCGAAGGCACGCGCCGCCCGCCAUGAGAGGCGGCAGGCACUAGGACGAGGGGAAGCAGAGUAGUCUACACGCCGGCACCACAGGAUGCCAGCAGAGCCCGAUGAGAACGAAUGCCUCCUCGCAUGGGUGUACCUCCGGUCCCUCACGACGGCGGAGACGGACGCUCGGUGCUUCCAACGAAAGAAUGUGAAGGUGUUCCGGCUUGCUAUUGAGCAAUUGGUGUGCGAGGCGAAGGAGACAGCGAAGGAGAAGGCCCGACUGGCACGAUUGAAGCGCGAGAAGGACAUGGCGGUCUGGCGGAUAAAGGGGCUCAUCAUCCUCUUUGACAAUGACUCAGACGACAGCGACAAUGGCAUCUCCUCCUCUGACAACCAAGAUCCUCCGCCAACCGCGGACGGCUACAGUUGCGUCGGUGAUCCAAAGGGCAAAAGUCCGACGAGGAAGUGGUGAUCUGCCCCCUCCCCCCUACGCAUUGUUAAUAUCGUUUUUUUGGUGAUGAUAAACUGUGUUCUGCCAACUCCAUGAUCUUUUGAGUGAUGAUAGAUUUCCGUUUGCCGCAAAUCUUGUGUUCGUUUCCUUCUGAUUUUAUUUUCCGAUCACGUAGAUUAUUUCGACAUGCAUAUGUAGUAUGGAUAUAGGAUGCCGGAAUGAGAGAUGUGGAUGUUUUUUUUUGGAAAUGGAGGUUCAAACCCCCGACCUCUGCAUCAAUCGAUGCAUACAGCCAUCUUUAUUAAUUAUUCAACAUAGGUCUAACAAGAACAUACAUCAAACGAUCUGAAGCCAUCACUCACACCUACGAAACUCGAUAAUGUGGAGUGCUCUCAUUCCCCAUAUCUAAAACCGGUGCCGUCAUUGAUCCAUCCACGUAACGUAUCGGAACCCACAGCCGGUGCAGCAGACAUAAAGCGUACACCACAUGCACAUGUUUUAUACGCCGCCAUCAUCAUCAGGCCGCUGACCCGCCUUCAAGAGAGAGAUCUGUAUCAUCCUUGCCAGUCCGUCCAUCCGUCGACGCCACCACAGCUCGUCAGUCCAGACGCGAAGAUUCCGGAAGAUCUGUCGUGCGUAGCACCUGCCGACCAGGCAUGACACAGCGUAGUACCUGUCGGCCAGGCAUGACUUGACAUCUCCACCGAAAGCUCUGUGCAAGAUGAUCGACGCCACCACGGAACCAAACAGUGCCACCGCCUUGCGCUCAUUCGUCCAGACACGAAGUUUGUGGAAGAACUGUCGUGCAUAGCACCUACCAACCAGGCAUGACUCAGUGUAGCACCUGUCAGCCACGCAUGACUUGACAGUUCCACCAAAUCUUCGGGCCAGACGAAGCCGCUCCAUAUCCUGCCUCUGUCAUCCAGCGCUGCUCCACAAACGAUGCUCCCAAGAGAGAUACGGCACCGCAGUACCGCCAUCGUCCGAUCUGGAAAGUCAGAUCUUAGGGUUUCCCCCGAAGUAGUGCCCACCAUCAGCAACCGUCCAGGACGCACAUAGUUUCCACCACCACUCAGCCCUCAGGGCGACGCCUUCAGGAAGGUCACGACGUCAAGGACGCCGCCGCCGCCCACUGGAGUUAGGAUUUUCACCCGAUAGGUAGUGACAUAGGAAGUGAAGGAGCAGACGUAGACCGACGUCUCCAGGAAGAACAACGGCGCCCUUGAGCGUCAUCGUCGGCGCGGCCGGCCAGGGCCGACCAAUGGGUUUCCCCUUAUGUGAAUCUCCUCCACCAGCUUCAUCUGCGGCCACGCCGGCAACGUCAGGAAACCGCAGGAGAGAAGCACACCGCAGGUAUCUGGAUCAAUGAAAAUCCAAUGUGAACAGUGACGAGUACCACCACCCUGCGCUGGCCGACGGCGUCCGGGCACCGGAUCCAGAAUGAUCUGAGCCGAACUCGACGGCGCAAGCGACCACCAUGUCUUGCCCCUCCCGCAGCCGCCACUCCGCGUCGCAAGAACGAACCCCAGCCCUCGACGCGCUACGCAUGCCGCCGCUAGGAUCCACAUGCCGCGCCGCCGCACCACGCGCUAGUCUGGUGCCUCCUCACGAACGGUCGUCCCACGCCAGCCAUGUCGUGUGAAGGGGAGAUGAUCCCCGCCACCACCCCUGUCGGCGGCGAGGAUGAAGGAGGAGCGAGGGAGGACCGGCAGCGGCGGCUAGGGUUACCCCCUGGUCGCCCACGGGGGCGACGACAGGGGGUUACGGGGGCGACGGGGAUAUGUUCGCGAAGUUGUUGCUCGCGGACAUGAGACACGUGGAUGUGGAGAGGGAAAUUUAAGGCAUGAUCGGUCACUGUCUACGGACACGCCGAACGCGUCCAUGGACAUUUGAGGAAUCAAAUUUGCAAGAUCCGACUAUAGAUGCUCUUACACCAGCCAGUAGUUACCGAUUGGCAAUCCACCGUCCAUCAAUUUCACUAAUAUCUGUGACACGAUAUAAAGUUGUAAAUCCAUUAUCUGUCCUAUACUCAAUAAAUACAGACAAGACUGGCAUGCACUCACACAUUUGUAUCAAAAUACAUGCAUGUCAUGCAGCUUUGUACAAGAGAGAAAGUUGGGAUGGAGACCGAUUCAUGCACGAUUCUCUCUCCCCACAUAAAUGACAUUGACGUUCCGAACAAGAUCAUGUUGAAUGAUUGGGCAUUUUGAAUGAUUGUCCUAUUUUAAACCAAUGCCCAUUUUUGAAACCUUUUAUAUAUUUCAAAUCAUGUUGACAAGACGUUCCGAACAAGAUCAAUACUGGUUCUAUUUGAAUUACUUUUUAUUUUUUAUAUUUCAAUUGUCUUUUGAAUCACUUUCAUAAAACUAAAGAUACUUUUGUUAUUUCAUACAAGUGUUAAUGAAUGUUGUGUUAAUUUAAAAAAUGUAUUUCAUCAUUUACAAAAAACUAAUUUCAGUCAUUUUAAACAUUCGUUUCACUUAUUUUAAAAGACACAUUUCACUGAUUCGAGAAAAUAAUAUUUCACUCAUCUCCAAAAUAUGGAUCUAGGGCCAUCAAAAAUGAAGGAUUUAACUCAUCCCAAAAUUUAUUUCACACAUUUCAAAAAAUUGAUUUUACUCAGUUCAUGAAACAGCUGAUUUUACUCAUUCGAUACAACUGAUUUCAGUCGUUUCAAUUGAAAGAAAUACAUGUUUCAAUAAUUUUCAUAAUCAAAUUUCACUCAUUUCGAAAUAAAAAUAUUCUUGUUUCAAGAAGCUAGUAUAUGUCAAAUAAAAAUAAACUUAAAAAUAUUUCAUAAAAGUAACCUCACUCAGUUGAUUUCAAUCGUUUCAAAUUAAUCAUUUAAAGUAUUUCAAAAAACCGUUUUCACUCAAUUCAAAAAACUAUGACUUCACAAAACAAAUUCGCCCGCUCCAUAAAACAGAUUUCGCUCGUUUCAAAAAUUAGAUUUCACUUAUUUACAAAACGAUUUCACUCAUUCAAACAAUGAUUUUACUCAUAAAUUAUAAAACAUGUGAAUGAUGAAUGUUAUGUCGGUACAUUCCUGAACCGGAGAAUAUAAAAAAUGGACUGCUAUCAAUACCGGGUUACACAUAAAUUAUAAAACAUGUGAAUGAUGAAUGUUAUGUCGGUACAUUCCUGAACCGGUAAAAAAGUGUUUUGCGGGAGCGCCGCUCGACGAUUACGAGUGAAACCGACGGCAUGUGAUGUGAUCAGCAACUGUCGUGCCCAACUUUAUAUCGAUCGAGAUCUCCUUUUUCUUGCUAACUUUGGUGGGUAAAAUAUAAAGACGAGGGAACAAACAAACGUCGUUGAAUCCUGUGGAUUCCUACCAUAGUUUUGGAGAACCGGCCUACCCUGCCGCUCUCGGAAAGCGUGCGGUGCUCUGCCCCGCCAACAAACUCGUGUCUGUCCAAGUGCAAAACGAGUGAGCAAAGCAGAUCAGCAGAGCACCCACGGUUUGCGCCCAAAACCAUGCGUGGCCGCCACCUUUUCGUUCCCCUAUAAAUUCAGGACAACCUUGGAAUCAAUCAAGCAACAGCCAGCCCAUCUCGUCUCUCUCGAUCACACCUCCCAUACCUACUUAGCCAGUGAGCAGUAGCCGUUUCCGUCGAAGAUGUCGUCGGUCACCAGCGCCCACCUCGACCACAAGCUCGCCCUCGCCAAACGCUGCUCCAGAGGUCGGUCGGUGAUUAAUCAGCAUCCACUCCUUCAGAGUUCAGUUGAGCAUGUACCGGAGCAUCCAUCUUGAUACUAGCGACGUAAUUUUUGUUGUUGUUGUUUGGCAGAGGCGACGCUUGCCGGAGCCAAGGCGGCGGCCGUCGCCACCGUCGCGUCUGCAGUCCCGACGGUACGUACGUACGUGGUGGAGCAGUGCUCCUUUACUACUGUUGUUUAGUCUCUGCUAACUGAUCGGCAUGUGUGGUGCAGCUGGCCAGCGUGCGGAUGCUGCCGUGGGCCAAGGCCAACCUCAACCCCACCGGCCAGGCCCUCAUCGUCUGCACCGUCGCCGGGAUGGCCUACUUCAUCGCCGCCGACAAGACCAUCCUGUCGUUGGCCAGGAGGCACUCGUACGAGAGCGCACCCGACCAC